rnacentral:rRNA from 1 species
GACGAACGCUGGCGGCGUGCUUAACACAUGCAAGUCGAACGGUAAGGCCCUUUCGGGGGUACACGAGUGGCGAACGGGUGAGUAACACGUGGGUAAUCUGCCCUGCACUUCGGGAUAAGCCUGGGAAACCGGGUCUAAUACCGGAUAUGAGUCCCGGCCGCAUGGUCUGGGGCUGGAAAGUUUUUCGGUGCAGGAUGAGCCCGCGGCCUAUCAGCUUGUUGGUGGGGUAAUGGCCUACCAAGGCGACGACGGGUAGCCGGCCUGAGAGGGUGAUCGGCCACGCUGGGACUGAGACACGGCCCAGACUCCUACGGGAGGCAGCAGUGGGGAAUAUUGCACAAUGGGCGGAAGCCUGAUGCGGCGACGCCGCGUGGGGGAUGACGGUCUUCGGAUUGUAAACCCCUUUCAGUAGGGACGAAGCGCAAGUGACGGUACCUGCAGAAGAAGCACCGGCCAACUACGUGCCAGCCGCCGCUGUAA